UCCCGGCUGGCUCCUGCUGAACGAUGCCCUUCCUGCUGGGGCCGUGCUCUUCACGCUGCCAAAAGGGCAGCCAGAGCCCCACUGGGUGGACAAUUGAGCACUAAAUCUAGGAUGGCAGCUCAGAGCCACAUGUCUCCACUUGUCCUAGGACAAGACAUGCAAGGGGCAGAGGAGCUGCAGUGCAAGCACCAGAUGGAGCAGAGCCAGGUCCAGAAGUACAGGGACCUGGCGAGAGUGGGAGAGGGCCUGAGAAAGAUCUUGCUGGAGGAGCAGAGAAAAUCUUUCCUGCAGAGGGCCCUUCAUGCAGUUCACAGUGGACAGAUGCACAUCAGCCAAGCUGGGCUUGUCUUCCUGUAUGCAAUCCUGGGGGAAGCCAGCUGCUUGAAGGGACACAAGGUGUGAUAGGGAGAAUACAAAUACACCUACCAGCAAGGGAGAGCCUGAAAUGAUUAUCUUGCAUCCAGCUGCCAGCAAGGUCAUGAAUUUGUAUUAGAAGCAGGAAGAGGAGAUCAACAACAACACUUAUUAGAAAAGAAAAUUUGAUAUUAAAUUUAUUAGUCUAAAACUACUCUUAACUCCUACGCAC